CCUACGGGAGGCUGCAGUGAGGAAUAUUGGUCAAUGGACGAGAGUCUGAACCAGCCAAGUAGCGUGAAGGAUGACUGCCCUAUGGGUUGUAAACUUCUUUUAUGUGGGAAUAAAACGUUCCACGUGUGGGAUUUUGUAUGUACCAUAUGAAUAAGGAUCGGCUAACUCCGUGCCAGCAGCCGCGGUAAUCCGGAGGAUCCGAGCGUUAUCCGGAUUUAUUGGGUUUAAAGGGAGCGUAGGUGGUUUGUUAAGUCAGUUGUGAAAGUUUGCGGCUCAACCGUAAGAUUGCAGUUGAAACUGGCAGUCUUGAGUACAGUAGAGGUGAGCGGAAUUCGUGGUGUAGCGGUGAAAUGCUUAGAUAUCACGAAGAACUCCGAUUGCGAAGGCAGUUCACUGGACUGUAACUGACACUGAGGCUCGAAAGUGAGGGUAUCAAACAGGAUUAGAUACCCUUGUAGUC
rnacentral:rRNA from 1 species